AAAAAAAAAAAACUAAACUUGUUUUAUUAUGCUUGAUUAAUAUUUAAUAGUUUAUAUACUAAUGAGUAGUGAGUAACGACUAAGACUGGACACAGGUCGUCUCUCUUUCAAUUUUGGGAUAGCUAUUACUCUAUUAGGCAUUUACGAGUGAUAAAAUAUUAAUACAUGUAUCUUAUGUAGAAAAAUGAAUUAAAAAGAAACCAAAAUAUUUCCUAUGUCACAUGAUUCGACUUUAAGUAAUAUCCAAACUUCUAAAAAACAUCUAAUAAAUUUCUACUAUAAUAUUUCUAAAAAUAUUUAUAUUAAGCCAAAAACUUUAAAUAGUCAAAUCUAUUUUUUCAUCUUGAUAUAAAUUCAAAAUAUGUUAUAAGUUGAUUCAAAACCUAGAAAAUUGUAUAAUACAAGACUUACAUUUGUCCAUGUUUUUGGAAAUUAUUUUGUACAAAUGAUGUCAAUAGUAGUAUAUGGAUAAAUUACUAGGUAUGCAAGCAUCAAGAAUGAAUACAUAAUAAAAGAAAUAUUAGAUAUCUUAAAAAGAGUCAAUAUUUGUUGAUAAUAACUAGUUAAUUGUAUGAUAUCUUUAAUUUUUUAUCCAAUCAAAAACAUCAUUCCAAUUUACUUUAAAAUGGAUAUAAAUACGAUAAUGAGUCAACCAUUGGUAUUGUAUAUUCUGCAAUAACAAUACGUAAGAUUGAAUAUGUCAAUUUCACAAUUUUGUUUUGUCAGCUAUCAUGUAUAUAAUUUUUUUUGCAAAUUCACGACUGAAAUACUAUAGAUCAUAUAAAUUUAAACAUUUUUUUUGUUGACAACGUGUGUAUUUUUAAUCAUCUUGAAAAUCUGUUAGAUCAAUUGUUGUUUAUUGUUGUUGGAGAUUAAAAUAUGUCACAAUACAAUGCAUAUAACAGUUUUUUUUUUAUUUGUCUUCGUAUAUAACUUCAAGAAAUGCAUUGUAUUCUGAAAGAAUCUAGGUAGUAGAAGUUCUCCACAAAGGUCAAGUUUUCAGGCUUAUAAAGUGAAAGUGAAAUAUAAUUCUCUAAUAUUGAUGUCAUUAACAACGAAUUUAUCCAUCAUCGUUAGGUGAUUAGUGAAAUAAUUGGCAUUUGAAGUUGUUUAUAAAUAAAAGAAUAUGACCCAUCACUUACUUUUGUGAGUAUCUCCAUCCAAAUUUUUUUUUCCCAUCCAUUAUAUUCGGUUGAAUCUUGAAUACAUCUUUGUAUAGACGUAUUUUUAUGUUCAUCUUUACAAAUAUAUGCAUAAUAAACUAUUGAAAGUGUGAAAUGUUUGUACAUUAGUAAGUGACUUGGUGUCUUGAAUAAGAUUUCAAGAUUUAUUUCGUUAUUUCUUCGUUUAUCAACAUAUUCAUGUAUGGAAACUUCAUAUUAGAUCAUAUAAAGUAGAAUAGUACGUCGAAACAAUAAAAAAACCACUAACAUGUUCGAGUUUUGAGUAGAAUUAAUUAACCUGAAAUCAUGCAAUAAUACAAUAUAAUAAAUGUAGAGUAACCUAAGCUAAGAGCUUGAACCUACGAUCUUAAAUGGAAAUAGUUGGGAGGGAACAUGUGGAAGAAGCUCACCACCGGCCUUGUUCAAUUAUGAUACAAACUAAAGUCGUUGAUUUGGUCACAAACAAUCCACCUUUCAUUUAAUACCCAAACCUAAUUCCUCACCUGUUUUCUUUUCACCAUUUCUAAUAAUUGGGAUAUCUUCAUUUUAUAGAUAAUAUUUAUAUACUACGUAGUCACAACACAAGCCUAGUGACACCAAAACAAUACACGAGUUUAUUUCUCUUACUUAUGUAUAUAUAAUAUAUAUUUUUUAAUUGGUGCAUUAAUAUGGACAAAAGUUAGGAUUUUGUACGCGGAAAAAACACUACAGCUGGUCAACGUUCAGAGAAGCACAAGUGGCUUUGUCAAACCUAGAUACGACUUUUUCUUUCAAUCAGAUUAUUCUACUGCAAAAUAUCUUCUCUUCUUGAUUAGUAACCAGCUACAAUUAGGGUUAACAAUAAAUAUCAAUGGUAGCAAAAAAUUAUUAUUUGGUAUAUGGUUCAUGAGUCAUGACUGAAAAGAUCUUGGUCGAUAAAGGCCAUAAGUGAUCGAAGUAUCGGUGAAAUAAAUCCUACUCUCCAAUGUUUUUGUUUCUACGUAGUUCCUCUUCCUUGUAGUAAUGAUGUUUUAGUGUGUGUCGGCACUUGCAAGUUUUAUAUAAUUGGAUAAAAAAUAAGCCCUUAAUACAUCUUAAUUUUAGAUUAAUAACGAAUGAGAAAUAUGUAUGUAAGUCACAUUUUAUUGGACCCACCAAUCUUAAAGUGACUAGCCCUACAAAAAUUAAAUCUACAAAAAUCACAAAUAUCUCUCUAUAUAUAUAAACCCACAACUUCUUUGGACAUUCACUCACAUUCACUGCAUUGUCCAUUAUCAAACAAUCUUCUUUACUACUUUGAAAUGGAGAGUUACUUAAGCAAAUGGUGUCUAGUGUUUGUGUUGUUGAGCUUCGGUUCUAGUUUAGUAAAAGCACAACCACAAGCUCAAGUUCCAUGUUUCUUUGUUUUUGGUGACUCUUUGGUUGACAAUGGAAACAACAACGGUCUUGUUUCUUUUGCAAGAGCCAAUUACUUCCCUUACGGUAUCGAUUUUGGCGGCCCUACCGGCCGUUUCUCCAACGGCAAGACUACCGUUGACGAGAUCGGUAUGCAUAUACUUUGUUACAACUAUCUUCUCCAUAUAACUAAGUAGCUAUAUACAUAGUCUACGUGAUUUAUAUGUUAAUAGUCAUAAUCUAACAUGGUUUUGAUAUUUCUUGGUGAUUAAAUGAAGCUGAGCUACUCGGAUUUAAUGGCUACAUUCCUGCGUAUAAUUCUGUCAGUGGUCGGCAAAUACUCUCCGGUGUUAACUACGCAUCAGCAGCAGCUGGAAUCCGAGAAGAAACCGGUCGACAAUUGGUAAUUAGAAACAUUAUUAAAAAACCAUUUUCUCUUAAUAACUCUCUAAUUCAUUCAUUCAUUGUAAAUUUUCUAACCAUUUUUUGUUCCUUUUUUUUUUUUUUUGGAAAAUAAAGGGACAAAGGAUAAGCUUUAGUGGGCAAGUUAGGAACUACCAGAACACGGUAUCACAAGUCGUGCAGCUGCUAGGAGACGAGGCUAGUGCAGCUGAUUACCUCAAGAGAUGUAUCUACUCUGUUGGUUUAGGAAGCAACGAUUACCUCAACAACUACUUCAUGCCUAAUUUUUACUCUUCUAGCAGACAGUUCACUCCCGAACAAUAUGCCAACGAUCUCAUCAGUCGUUACAGCACUCAGCUCAAUGUACGUUUUUCUUUACUUAUGGCUUCUUUUAUCUCUGUUUGUGUCAUUAGAUCUUUAAUUAAUACAAACUGAAAAGGUUUGGCUCCAUCGAAUUGACUCAUUUACUUUUUUAGAUAUGGGUUUGGUCCAACUUAUAAUUUCCUAUUAUGCCCCAUCUCAUGAAAAUGCGAUUUUUGUUUUAACAUGAAAAUAUUUCUUUUGGGCGGAGAAUGACAAAAGUAGAAAUAUAUAGUACAAGUUAAGGUAUCAUACCAAUAAAUUUAUACCCAAUCCGAUAAGUUUCUAGCCUUAGCUUGUAUAAAUUCCGGCUUUAGAUUAAACCCUGUUUUAUGGAAACGAAUAAUAUUAAAGAAUGAGUAGUGAAAUUUCUUUAAUUUUGUAAAAUUUGUAUUGGGAGACUUACUAAUUUCACUAUCAAUUUUUGGUGGGUUUUGUUGUGUAGGCACUAUACAAUUAUGGGGCACGAAAGUUUGCAUUGAGCGGAAUUGGAGCAAUCGGUUGUAGUCCGAAUGCGCUCUCGGGCAGCCGUGAUGGUAGGACUUGCGUAGACCGCAUCAACUCAGCGAACCAGAUCUUCAACAACAAGCUCCGAUCGCUCGUUGAUCAGCUCAACAACAAUCAUCCUGAUGCAAAGUUCAUCUACAUCAAUGCUUAUGGCAUUUUCCAGGACAUGAUCACAAACCCCUCUAGAUUUGGUAUGUACACACAAGCGUGGUUUUCUUUUCAGUGAUAAAGAAACCGAACUUGAUAUUGGUUUUGUCGGAAAUGCUUUUUGUUCUUUUCAGGGUUUAGGGUGACGAAUGCAGGAUGUUGUGGUAUCGGGAGGAAUGCUGGUCAAAUCACAUGUUUACCGGGACAAAGACCCUGUAACAACCGAAACGCGUAUGUGUUCUGGGACUCAUUUCACCCGACCGAAGCUGCAAAUGUGAUUAUCGCAAGGAGAUCAUACAACGCACAAUCGCCUUCGGACGCUUACCCUAUGGAUAUUUCAAGGUUGGCACGGCUUUGAAGAAACAUAGUAAAAUAAGAAUGAAAGUUCCACAAACCAAUUUGUGAUCUUUUUUUGUGUGUACCGUACUGCUUUUUUACUAUCUUCUUGACACAAAUGUAAUGGAGUAAAACAUUAUUAUAUAUAUUACUGAUUUACAUAUAUAGCACAAUUUCUACACUGGUUCAUCAGUCAUCACUCAUACAAGCGAGCAAUGAGAGGACAUUGUUCACGGAAAUUGAGCGUUACGGUUCAUUUCGACAGACAUGAUAUCAAGAACAAAACACUUACCAUGUUGCUUCCAGUAAUCAGCCAUCGGAUUGAUCCACUCCGGUUCAGCAAUCUCGGCCCUCUUGUGCUUCAAAUCAUCAGUCGAAAUGUUGUACUUCUCAUCUCUUCUCUUCACCAACUCCGGCCUUAGUACCCCUUCCCCCACCCCCUGGGGUGACAUCAUCAGUUCGGGUGCACCAAUUGGUAACUUGUCACCUAGAGAAACAAACACACACAAUGAUCAAUGAUUGGCUGACCAAAAUAGACCAAACAAAAUCGAACCCACUUCACCACUAUAAAUUUUUUGAUACUAAUUAAUGUUUGCUGUUUUAACCGAUUAAUCGGGAGAACUUAAUUGUUUAACCAUACGGUUAAUGGGUGUAUUAUUAUCUAAAAGAAACGGUUUAACGCCCCGGUAUUUAGAUCAGAGACAUACCUCGGUCUAUCUGCCAGGUGCACCAGAACUUUCCAUACGUUUUGGCCAUGUUCUUGAGCUCUGGAGCAGCCACAACCUCAGGCAAUCGUGGAUAAGCCCACGAGCCUGACUUAACCUCGUAAGCAUGAGAGUGCCAAAGCUUUUGCUCAUCUUGAGGCAGACUUUCAUAUAAUCGGUCCGAUAUUACAUAUUCAAUUCCUGUUUUAAACAACUUUCUUAUACAUGAUUUUCAAAAUUAGGCAUUCGAUUUAAGCGUAAAAAAUAACAUCUCAGAAGUUAAAACACAGUACCGAUGAGAGGUGCAUCGGAACGAUCAGAGGCGUAUACCGCGCACUGGAGGAACUCGUCGUUGACUCGGUGGACGUAGUGGUGAGUCUCUAUUUGCCGGGACAUGUCACUUCCAUAUAUCGAAAAAGUAGAGACAUGACAGUUCAUCUGCUUCACCGGUAAUCGCCGCUGCAUGAUCGUCGAACCAGCAUCAAUCAGACGUGUAGAAAACGUCACCGGACCUCCAGGAGGCACCUGAUCUUCGCCGCCGCUCGAAGCCAUUCUUGAUUUCCUUUUCUUUGUUCCAGUUUUGAUUUUGCAUUUUAGUAUUUGGUUUCUUGAUUCGAUUAUAUGUACAUUUUGUUAACUAUUAUUACGAUACAUGGCAUGUAAAUGUCGUAGAAACGUGUCACGAAACGCUCGUACAUCGACCAUGUGUUGAGUCCAACUACAUAUUUACAUCUCUGAUUUAAUUAAAAUUGUCUACAAAACCCAACCGGACAAAAAUUCAACCAAAACCAAAAAACCAAACCAAUCUAAUGUAGAAACCGAACCAAACUGAACGGUUCCCAUAAGCAACCGACACAUGUACAAGAAAGAUUCGCUGUGCAAAGAAUGCUGACGGGAUAAUAUUUCCGGCCGCCGGGAAAACAAGAACUCAUCUAAAUCUCUCAAUAAUUUAGCAACGAAUACUUCACACGCAAUACAAUCUUACCCUUUUCCACGCCUAGCUUUGCUCCAGUGACAAGCCAAUGUCCAGGCAGAUCCUUUGGUCCUUUCAACAUCUCUGACGAAUCCACGAUCUUGGCCAGUUUCCCUGAUUGUCCUGACACGUCCUCUUUCUUUUCCUCGGUCGAACUCGAUGUAGAUGGACCUCCGGGUUCCAGUCUCCCUGAGGAACUAACCGGAGUGUGGUCCCAGACGGACCGUCUUAUUGUACAACCGGGGACUUUAGAGAAUAGUAAUUUCAAAUGCAAGACGUUUUUUGAUCCGAAAUCCCAAACCCCGAGCUGAGCUCCGGUGACAAUGUGAACACCCGAGAGAUCGCCGAUGUGGGUCUCAGUGUGUUCGAUAGGCGAGGUGCUUACAUGAGAGAAGUUCUUCCACUUAAUUGGCUCGAACCAGCGGCUAUCUUGCUCCUCUGGUCCUUGCCAUUUCGGUGCACCUAUUGGCACGUGAGAGUCCCAAUGCGGCUGCAGGAUUUUGGGGAGAGAGACUAAGUGUUGUAAAUGGAUGGAGAGACGGUUUUGUUUGCUUCCUUCUAAGCUCAGCCUGAGACCUGUGACUGGUUUACGCCCAACCGUUACCUGAAAAUACCCAAGGACAAUAUGCUUAGUUCAUCCAUAAAUUGAACCAGAACAAAACAAAAGAAUUGGUCGCUCUGAGUUACCUGAUCGGCACUGAUGAAUAGUUUGGGACCCAUUAAGCUGAACUGAAGAGAAGGACAAACAGGUUCUUUACGUUGGAGGUUACUCUGUUCGGGAGCCCAAGCUCGAGCUAUUUGGAAAUCCAAGAAGUAUUGUAAAUCUUCAAUAGGAGGCUUAUCUGGUAAGAACAUCAAGAGGUUUGUUAUGUUUAUGAGAGUGUAAACAGGUGGAUUCGAAUAUGAAGAAGCUCAAAUAUUUUGAUAGAAACUCACAUUCUAAGUAAAGUUCGAUAGCACGAGUCAAAUGCCGCAGACCAGGCACACCUUCAAGCAGAGAAACAAUAGGAGUAAAAGUCAUGUUGAUAAUGUCUGGAGCUGCAGGUACUGUCUCAGCCCAUCGAGCAUGGCUUUGCUCAAGAUCGUCGCCUCCUCUACGCCUAAAUAUUACUGUGAUAUCCUACAGGAGAGAGCUUUUUCAGCUAAUAUUCUUCGUUUAACCAUAGUCUUAGAGGGAAUUAAUUUCUUUAACCAGAGUACUCUCGCCAUGGCCCGUGAUGUUGUACUAACCUUGUCUUUGUAUUUUAAGGGGCCGGUAAUAGAUUGACUCUCCGCUUCAUGAAACCUGUGCUCCAUCAUGUCAUUCACAUAGUUUUCGAUUUCAGAUACCGGUAAAGGAGAAGACUGAUGUUGUCUAAUGUAAACUACGUCUCUUCCACCAAUGGUCACCGAAGUUACAAUAUGAGUGCCGUAAUUUUCAAUAAAGCUGUACCAAAGAGUAAACAAGUGGAGAAACCACAUAAGGAUCAUGAUAAAUGUCAACGAGAAUCACAUUCAAGUGUAGCUUCCAAGAUUUGAAACCGCAGAAAGAGAAAAGGUUUCUAGAUUUAUAACACUCAGCAAAAUUUGUCUUCACCACUUAUAAAGUCCUUUCUUCAUUUGGCUACAUAAAUUAUGGGUUUCAUUCAAGAUAAGAAGAAGAAACUGACUAAAAAUCAGUUUCCAAGCAUUCCACUGGUAUCAACAUUUCUUGAUGCCAUAUUCACAUAGAGAUUAUAAACAGCUAGACAAGAAUUUACAGAACGACGGAAAACAUGGUGAAUUAAAGAGUGGAUUAUACCUAGCUAAGGAAGCGGGAUCCCAUGAGGAAGGAACAGCACGUCUGAUCUCGUUGUGCAAUACCAAUGUAAGCUUUGCCAAUUUGACUUCAUAAAGCGGGAUAAAAUAUCCAACAAGAGCAAGAGAUUUUGUGGAUGCUGCAUCGACUUGCCAAGAACCCGUGUAAUUGAACAUUGCGUUAAAGCAUCCGAGUGGUAUGUUCCCUUUUACACCUGAUCUCUCAUUGAAAUAUUCUGCCAUCUGCCAAAAAAGGUAUAUCUUUUGAAUAACCAGAAGCCACAUAAAAAAAUUUCUAGAGAGACACCUAGACUUCAAUAAUCAUUUUUAACCCCCACAGACCAAUCUUUACCCAAAUACCGAAUAAAGAGAGAACGCCAAUAUAAGAAACAGUAUUGAUCAGCAUAUAAACCCGAUAUUCUGAAAUUUCCCUAAGCUUCUGACUCGAUCAAACUACAUUUGCCUCAGUCAAGUGGAAGCUCAAUGUAAAUCUUCCAUAUUUAGAAAAGUCCAAAGUCAAUUAGGGUCCUCUGAGCUAGUGGUAUUAAAAAUCCACAGAGACUCCUAAACUUCGAUACUCAGUUACCCCCCACAGAACAAUCUUUACCAGAAAACUGAAUAAAUCAAGUACACCAAUAUAAGAAACAGCAUUUAUCAGCACAAAAGCUCGAUACAGCUAUAUCUGUUCCGAUCUUUCCCUAGCUUCUGACCUAAUCAAACUACAACUGCCUCAGUCUAGUUAAAACUCAAACGUAAAAGCUUCCAAAUUUAGAAAAGUCCAAAGUUAAUUAGGGUCCUAUGAGCUAGUGGUUCCACAAAUCCACAGAGACAUACCUAAACCUCAAAACUCAUUUUGACCUCCACAGACCAAUCUUUACCAGAAAACCAAAUAAACCAAGAACACCAAUAUAAGAAACAGUACUGAUCAGCACCAAAACCCGAUACAGCUAUAUAGAGAUUUCUCUAAGCUCCUGACUUGAUCAAACUACAAUUGCCUCCGUCAAGUUAAAACUCAAAUGUAAAGCUUCCAAAUUUAGAAAAGUCCAAAGUCAAUCAGGGUCCUAUGAGCUAGUGAUUCCACAACAAAUACACAGAUCAGACAACAUCUAACUGUAGAUGCGUAAUCAAAGACAAAGACAAAAUAAUAUGGGCUAAAAUCUAACAAUGGCAUUUCAAAAAAAAAUUGGGGGAAAGUUACGCAAAAACCGCUGAAAAAAAUCACCUGGUGGAAACUGCAAACAGGGAUUCGUUGAAUACUAUUUCUGCCUCGUGAACACUCAAUAUCAGCUGGGACAUUAGGAAGAAGAUAUCCAUCAGACAACUCAAGAUCUCUGUUUUGUCCUUCUUCGAUACGGACAAGUCUUGACCCAGGAGCUCCUUUGCAGUAGAGAAGCCGAACAUCAGAGGUAACAUCGAAACCACGACCCAGAGCUUGGAUCGCAUUACGGAGCGUCGUGGUCAAAGCUUCUGAGCUAGAUACGCUAAAGUUUCCACCUUUACGAUUCUCCAUUUGAGACACACACACAAAAAUAAAACCUUUGAGACUAAAUCUUGAAAUCGAAUGAUUGACGAUUACAAACUCAUCUAGGGUUCGUGGGGAAAGAUAGAGUUUUUGAGCUUUCGAUCGAUUUUUUUAGACUCUCUCACCAACACCAUGCCUGGUUUUGACUCUCCAAUAAUCGUAGAAACCGCGUUUCAGAUUAUUUUUUUUUCUUUUAAUUUAUUUGUUUUCUCUUUUUUUUUUUCUUCUUCUUUCUGUGUGAUAUCAAGAAGAUUCUUAGGUUGACUGGUCUUUUUCUUUGGUUAUAUACUAAUUAGAUCCUUUCUUCAUUUCCAGACAGACAAAUUCUUUGACUUUAUGUUUUUAAUUUCCCUUUUUCAAGGGUUUCUAAUAUAAUCAUGUCUCUGUUCUUGAAAUUGAGCGUAUGAUUUUCUCUUUAAAAAAAAACAGAAAAGAAUAUACAACAUUUCACUAAUUAAAAUCAAACUAAAGUUUCUGUUAUAUACAGUAAAACCUCUAUAAAUUAAUAAUGUUGGGACCAAGAUAUUUUAUUAAUUUAUAGUGAUAUUAAUUUAUCUAUAAAUUAAUAUUUAUUAUUUUAUAGUGUAAAUUAAUAAUUAUUAAUUUAUAGUGGUAUUUAUAGUUUUUCAAAUUUUAAAAAAUUAUGAAUUGAUACAAUUUUACAAAAAUAAGACUAUUUUUUUAAAUUUUAUAAAUUAUACAGUAGUUUGAAAGUGAAUACUAUAUUUAGGAAAAAAAAAUUUUGACUGUAAAUACAGAUAUUAUAGAUAAAUUCACUUACACAAAUGAUAUACAUAAAUUCAAAUGUAUAUUAAUAACCUCAAUUUUUAUAUUUUAACAUCCUAUAUAAAAGUGAAUAUGAUGCAUAUUUAUUGUUUUGUCAAUAAUAUGAUGCAUAUUUAAAAAUUGAAAGCAUAAAGAAAAUUUGGUUAUUUUUAUGACUUGUGAUGGUAUAUAUUACAAGAUUAUUGUUUAAAAAUACUAACAUAAAAUACUAACUCUAGGAGAAAAUUUAUUUUUACAAAAAAAAACUAAGAACAUAUAUUAAUAUAUCUACUUAUAUGUAUAUAUAGAGUGAUUAUUAAUUUAUGAUAUUAUUGGGACUAUAUUUUACAUAGAGAUGUCAGAAUAAUUAUUAUCUUAUUAUAUUAUCGAAUUUCGUCAAUUUUUACACCGGCCUGACUUGGGACCAGCAAAAUUUAUUAAUUUAUAGUGUUUAUUAAUUUAUAGAGUAUUAAUUUAUGGAGGUUUUACUGUAUAACUCAAAUAUUUCUUUACAAAGUAUUUCUAUAACUUUGUAUAUGUACUGCUCAUUAUCAGAUUUCAAUUCUUUCUUAGACUAUUUUUUUAGGCUAUACUAUUUAUUUGUGAGUGUUCCCAAACUUAAAUAUUUUAGUUUGGUCAAAAACUUAAUCUCUUAUUAUCAGCUAAAAUUAUACUUAAUUAUUUUAAUAUAUAAAAUUUAAUCAAAGAUACAUCUUUUAAAACUUUUUUUUGUUAGUUAACAGCUACAUUUUCUUUUAAUGAAAAGAGUGAUCCUCGUAGAGAAAAGUUACAAAAAAUUUAGGUACAUAAAAUAAAAUAUGAUUAAAAAUCUAAAAUUAUUUUUAAAAAAAAUCAUAGUUGCAAAAAAAAAAAUUGUGUGGAUUGGGCCGUCCAAACAAUUUACAUACUACAAAUAACAAACAAAUUUGGGGCACUUCCUUCUUGACAUUCUUCAAUAGUUAUGUAUGAGUCUAAAAGUUAUUCAUUUUCUUUGUUAAAUGCAAAACCCAAUUCUUCAAAGUCAGAAUCCUCGAGAUAAGAUAAACCAUCUUUUGCUUUGCGUAGGGAUUUCUUAAAUACAAAUCGGAUGCCAGCAGUUCAGCCAUAUUGAAAAGUAGUCUUGCCGAAUACAUUGAACCCAUAUAUGAUGAUUAUAUUUCUAAUACGCCCCUCGAUGAUAGCUCUUCUAGCCGUAAAUCUUGGCAUGUUUUAGCAAAGAUCGGUGGACCAAAUUUGUGUUAUACCAAUAGUGGAUGGAAUGGACAAUGCAUAGAUACUAUAUUAGACUAUGAAGUUCUAACUUAAAACUAAUUGAUAAUGAGUUAAGAUACUCAUAUCAUAUAUAUAUACCAUUUAAGAUCAUAUUCAAUUUCUAAUAUGGAGUAUUGUUAUUCCUAAUUAAUAACAUUAUAUUAAGUGUCCGAAGAUGGAGCCAAGAUGUCUAGCGGCACAUGCAUGCUGUAGGUUGCAACAGUUGAGGUUUUGGUAGCUCUUUUAACAAUGAGAGAAAGCUGCGCACCAUAAAAUGAUUUCAUAAUCGUUCCUUCUUUUUUUACUAUGCUUGCUAAAAUUCCCUUUGCAUCACGUACGCUCGUGGGAGAAGUUGUUAGACGACCAGUGUAAUUUAUAAUAUCAGCUCUUUUUUUUUUGGUAAAAUAAUAUCAGCUCUUUAAUGCUUCAGAAGUUUCAUGUUGCAUACACAAUGCGGUUCGUACGUAGUAGAGAGAUGUCUGAUCUUCAGGGGAUACAAGGAGAUAUAUACCUGAGAACAACAUAGAAGCAGAACUCAAAUAUGCAUAACCUGAAUGUAUUAUUUGUUAUCGUAGACCAUAUAUUCUUAUAGAUUAGAAUUUAGAAAAUAUUUUUUUUUUUUGCAUAACCUGAUUAUUAUUUGUCAUCGUAGACCAUAUUCUUAUAUAUUUAUAAUAUUAUUAUGCAUACCUAGGAAGUAUGAAACAAAUCACUUACGAUUUACCAAUGUUCUGUUAUGUAAAUAAGCUCUAUACUGACUACUGAGCCACCGGCCACGCACUCGAAAUUAACAGGUUGCGAAAAUUUAGUUAUAACUUAUUUAUAGUUACUUCCUUAUGGACAUUGGUAAGAUCGUCUUCUCUCAAGCGACUCGUUUUUUAUUUAGAGAAACGUAAAUAAUGGCAACACUAUUAUUAAUGGAUUACUUCUGAAUGUAAGAAAAAUGUUACUGACUGAUGUUUUCCUUGUUUCUUUGGUUAAUUAACUUAACUCAAAUUUCUUCAGAACCGAAUCUUAACUUGGUUUGCAUACAGUGUUGAAGAUUCAAUAUAUUCUACAACCUAUGUAUCACUUCUUUGAUUUAAAUACGUACGUGACGUUAAAUUAUUUAACAAAAAAAAAAUGGUUAAUAACUUGAUUUGAUACUAAAGGAAGUAAGUAUCUAGGAAUAACCUGCAUGGCUGCAUCCGCUUAUUUAAUUGAUGAUGUAGACCGUGUAUAGUUAUAGGCUUAUAGCAUCACAUAUGAUAAGUGAUGUCAAAUAUUAUUAGGUUUUUUUGAGUCUGUUUAUGUUAAAUAAAUGAUGUAAAAUAGUGUGAUCGCAAGGAUAUUAACAUGGAGUCUUUUUUUCCUUCAGGAAUCUCGGACUCAAUGUUUCGUUAUUUUACACAUUUACAUUGGUUGUUACAAAUUUACCUCAAAAUCUUAAAACAAGUUUUAUAUUUUGUUUUAUUGAUUUCGUUAAUUUUAUUUGAAUAUUUUUUUAUAUAGUAGAUAUUUUCAUAUUGUUUUGAGAAUAUAUUUUCUAGUUUUUUGUUUGUUUGACAGCAAGAAUAUCUUCUAUUUACUAUAUAUAUCGAAUUACUCCUAACAAGCUAGUAUAAAAAUAAAAACACUUGUCUAGCUAGGUUUAUAUUUUUAUACACUAAACGUCGCUCUUCUCAGUUUAUCUUCACCAUGGGGGAGUCCGUGAUUACUUCGCUUUUCUCUUUUUUGACUUCCAUGUGCGAGUAUGUGUUCAAGGCCACAAAGCCUUUGAAGAAAGAUGAGAGAGAGAUUCCUUCGUGCACGAAGGAGGACAGUGAGGCGACUACGAUCUUAAUUACUGACGCUAAGAGUCGUCCUGCCAGGGAACUUUUCUCUGAGUCUGAGCUGAAGGCUCGUCGUCACGAUAUAGAAACACGGGUAUAUUGUGCUCGCCUUAUAGAGGAGUCGUGGAAGAAAGAGCUUGCCGAGAAGGCUCGUCUUCAGGAUAUGGAAACACGGUUAGAUCUUGCUCGCCUUAGAGAGGAGCUUGAGAGGAGGGAAGAGCUUGCCGAGAAUGCUCUUUCUGAAGCUACUUCCAACAGCAAAAAUGACUCAUCUGGCUCCUACUCUUCUUCAGCAGUGGCAGAGUAUAGUUGGGAGGAACAUGAUGAUGUUUAUAAUGAAAAUUUUACUGAAACUACAAAAGAGGAGAGCACAAGUUGUGAAGAUUCUAGGGAUGAUGAAUGGAUUAUGAUAUGAUGGAUUCUCAUAAUGUUGUAUAACGAUUUUUGACCAACUCGUUCUCAUCAUCAUAACAUCUAUGCUUUGGGUUUUUUAAUUUUUAAUUUGCAUGUCAAUUUCUUUUUCUUAUUUUUUAUUUAACCCAUAACUAAUUGGGAAUUAGCACUUUUUUUUAGAAUUGCAUGCAAUGAUUUUUCUUCCCUUUGGAAAAUUGCGUCAAAUUAAUUAUCGUUUAGAUUUACUAAUGGAUUACUAAUUUCCAUUAAUCAUAUACAACUUUUUCUGCAAUGAUGUUGACUGAUCUUUUUCCUUAUUUCUUUAGUAACUUACUAUCAACUUUCUUCAGAAUCUAAUCCAACUUGGUUUCACAGCCUAUGUAUGAUUCAGUUCUUUCAUUUAAGUACGUAAUGUUAAAAUUUAUUUUAACAAAAAGUGGUUAAUAACUUAAUAUAUACUACAUGAAAUUAAGUUUCAAAAAGUAUAAAAGCCAUGGGAUUCCAAAAUCCAAAUUAGCCAGGAGAAUCAGAUCAACUAGGAUUUUUAAUCCACCUGCUUCCCAUAAUCCCAUUGCAUGCUAACUAACACCCACAAAAAUGGACGACAUAAUAACCAAGUUAGCAUGCAAGAUGCAAUAUUUGCUUAUGGAAAUACACAAAUACUUAAUAAGUAGUACUAAAGAUUCUUCAAGUGACCCAUAUAAAUAAAUAAAUCCCCAUCCCCAAGCAAGUCAGCUUGAAUGCAUCUAUCCCAGAGCCACCAAUCCUAGUAGAUUCACUUUUGGCGGAAAUCUAUUCUGAUACUACUAUCUUUGUAUUUUCUCUUAUACUAUAUCUUUAAGACAUCUAACACUAUAAUUCUUAUAUAUCUAUCUUUUUGAUAUAUUUGUAUCCCUUCCUCAUUCAUCGUUUUACUUAUAAAUCUACCUUCUCAUAUGAAAUAAUCUUUAAAAUGUUGUCAAAAAUAUAAUCAUUUAUAAUCUUUAAUAUAUCAUCAAUGAGGUUCUUGGACUCAAAUCUAGGAUGCGAUGAUUUUUUAAAAACAUGUUGUACCGCACACAAGUAAGUUUAAGAGCAUUAUGAUAAUGUUGUAUACGUCUCAAUCACUAGUCUCUUUGUAAUCCUUCGAUUAUAGAUAAGAUACUUUGGGUUUUAAGUUGCAUUAUUGGUUAUCUUCAUAUUUUUCAGCUUAUUUUGGAUUUUUUUGUCCUUUUAUUCGGCUAUAUUUAAAACUGUACAUUAUUUGUUCUGUUAAUGUUCCCAAAACACUUUGUUACUCAAUUUUUUUUUCUAGCAAUUUAACCACAUUAUAAAAGAAUCGAUGUGCUGUGCAGUGCACCCGCUUUAUUAAGAGAAAAUAUGUCUUGAAAGUAUAGUUUGCUCUACGCCAUAUAACUAGCUAGUUGUAUAUAUAUAAUAAAUUUUCUCGAAUAAUUGUAGAUUGCAUUUGGACAAGAACGAACAUCCGUUAGAGAAAAUGUCUUUGAGAACAUCAAUUAUUUCUCCUCAUAUAUUUUGAAAGUUUUAUGUAUGUUAAAUAACCUUUUAUUGUUAAUGAAUUAUAAGAAAUAGUACAUAUUGUUUGGAUACAUAUGGCAUUCUGUUAAUUGGUUGGUUUUUAGUUUGAAUUAUUCGAGUUUCGAAUUUCAGAAUGCUGGUCCAUUUGGAAUAUAAUUUUAUGUUUACUUGUUCAGGAUUUAUGGUUUCAGAAUUGUUUAGACUUGGUUUGGUUCGGAAUUUUGAUCAUUCGUAAAUAAAAGAAAUGUCUGCUUUUUUUUUAUUAGAAGACAAAUACAGACGCAUGCAACAUACUUGAAAUACAAAUUUCAAAGAAACAACACAUUUAGAAUACGGAGGCAACUCAAGUGUUUGAGCACGAAAGAGAUAGUAAUCUUAACACUGAACUUUGAACGUGAGAUAGUUUGUGGAGAAGUGGAAAGAUUUUGGAGGUUUGAGAUUUUGGAGAUUUUGAAGAAGUGGAAAGAUCAUUCAUAUUUGUAUGUGAACCGUUUAAUUUAUUUGGAGAUUAAUUCAUAUAAGGAUGUAUUUUCUAGAAUGAUUAAUAAUGUGAGGAAGGAAUUUAAAAAAAAAAAUCAGAAAUUACAAAAUUAUAUAGUUAGAUGACGUGGACGAGUUUGAUUCGUCAUUUCUUUAUUUUUGGGAAUAUAAAAACUCUGUUUUUUUUUCUCCUCCCGCUUUACAGCAGAAAUAAUAACAAGAAUGGAGGAUCUUUCUUCUCUCUCUUUCUUGAAACUAGUCCGAGAAUAUUUCUGUAGAGGAGAUCACAAAAAAUCUUUGGAGUUUAUUGAAGAAAACAUGAGUUUCUUCAAUGUAGAGGACAUCGUCAAAGUUAGGACAAAAUUAAUUUGUCGAAUAACCGUUCGAAGUUAGGACAUGGUCGAAGUUAGGACAAUUUAAACAAAUGAGUUGAGUUAUCCAUUUUGACACCCCUAACUAUAUCUUUAAGACGUCUAACACUAUAAUUCUUAUAUAUUGAUAUAUUUGUAUCCCUUCCUCAUUCAUUGUUUUACUUAUAAAUCUACCUUCUCAUAUGAAAUAAUCUUUAAAAUGUUGUCAAAAAUAUAAUAAAUUAUAAUCUUUAAUAGUUCAACACAUACAAAAUCUGCAUUAUCACUGAAACCUCCAAAAUCUCUAUUAUCACUGAAAUCUCCAAUCCCUCUUCUUCUCCAAGAGCUAUAUAUUACAUUUUAUCUUCAACUGAUCCAUCUCUAAAAAGUUUUAUUUCACAUGUGUUAUUUACAUCUGUCUAUCCUCUCAUGUAGUUUGUACUGUCACACUUUAAAUGUCCGAAGAUGGAGUCAGGAUCUCUAGCGGCACACCUGCUAUAGGCUCCAACACUUGAGCUUUUGGUAGCUCUUUCAACAAUAAUUCCUGCAUUUAAAAAUCAAACAUCAAAAACAUUUAUCACCAUUGAGCCAGGUUGAACCAACAUUUGAUUUCGAUUUCAAUAAUUUUUGGGGGUUUUAAGAAAGCUGCACCUUAAAUGAUUCCAUCGUUCCUUCUUUCUUUAUUAUGCUUGCUAGAAUUCCCUUUGCUUCAAGCUCGCCAUUUUGCAUUGGCACAACAAACCUAAAUGUCCAAGAAAACACCCAUUGAUAAACAAAAAGCAAGACUGUUGAUUCAUUUUCUUGAGAUUACAUGAUAUAUAACGGGGAAAAGAAAAGAUAGAUGAUUGUUUACUUGGCUUCCAAGAGUUUGGCGAGCUGGACAGCGUCUUCUUGGCCAGAAACAAGAGUAAAUCGUGGGAGAAGUUGUUUGAUGACCGGUGUGAUUACAAUGUCGGCUCUUUCAUUCUUCAGAAGUUCCAUGUUACAUACACAAUGCGGUUCGUAGUAGAGAGAUAUCUGAUCUUCAGGGGAUACAAGGAGAUACCUGAGAACAAAAUAGAAGCACAACUCAAAAUAUACAUAACCAGGUUAUAAGUUGUUGUCGCAGACCAUAUUAAUGGAGGAAUUGAAAGCUUGAUGGGAGUUAAUUUUUUCUUUUACCCGUUUUCAGGGCGUUGCCAUGGUGGACCAAGGACAGGUCCUGCUGUGGCUUUAACUCGAACCUUAGAACCGUUUCUUGCGUUUAGCUCAUAGCUUUCUCCAGGUUCCAGAUAAGUGACCUACAGUAAUAGUUCAGCAACCCUUUAUAUAGCUCAUUCUCACUUUUUAAGAUUAGUCUGGAAUUCAGGUUAAGACUAGCAAAUAUGAAACAAGCCAGCAAGUCACUUACAUUUCUAAAAAGAGGAUCCAGCAAAGGCUUUGCAUUUGGAGUUGCAAUAACCUUUAUGCCUGGAUAUUUCUCAGAAAAUGGCCUAAGGGUGUUCAGAUGACAGUGAUCAUCAAGGCUUUGAGUAAUGAGUAGACAAUCAACUUCAGGGAGAUCAUCAAGCUGCACCAAAUAUAAAUUUUAGAAACUUACAAUCACAAUGAGAGACAUAAUCAUGAUGAAACUGCAUUACUAAUAAGAUUCCAUGAUAGAAACCGCUGAUGAUGUUUCAUGUUUUUAAAUGUUACCUUGAAGCCCUUCAAAUAUCUUUUGGCAGCAUCAUAGAGCCAUGGGAUUCCAAAAUCCAAAUUACCAACUAGAAUCGGAUCAACCAGGAUUUUCAAGCCACUUGUUUCCCAUAACCAGCUAUUGCCCUGACUCCCACAAAUUUGAAGACAUUUAAUAAUCAAAUACAAUGCAGCAUUUGCUAAUAGAAACACAAAAACCCAAGUAGUAAAAGAUCCCUAAAACGACCCAACUAAAUGAAGAAACCCCACCUCCAGGUAUGUCAGCUUGAAAGCAUCUGUCCCAGAGCCACUAAACCCAGUAGCUUGGUCCUCUGAUAAAACAGAAGAUACCACAUGCGGCGACAGCUUGAGGCGGAUGGAGAGGGACCUGGCAGCGAUAUGAGGAGCUGGUGAGAAAAGAGGAGAUGCAGAUGCACUUAGGACUCUUGGUUUGGUCUUGAUACAUAGAGGAAGAAGAGCAUUGGCCUGUAGUGGCAUCGUGGCUGCUUUGCCACCUGACACCACUAGAGCCAUUGAUUUUGUUCUGCAACCUGAAAAUGUUCAUAACACAAAAGGAGGUCUUUAAAUGAGUAAACUGAAAAGAGAUUCACCGGUUUAGCUUAGUAACAGAGUUUUACAAAACAUACAAGUCAUCAAAAGAUUGCUACUUAUAAUGAUGUUGACUUUGUCCUAGAUUCUAGACAGUACAGAGUUACAGGGGCGGACCCACAUAGAAGAAAGUGGGGGCAGUUGCACCCACAAACCUAUUAAGUUAUAAGUGUCAAAAUGGUUAAACUGCCCCCAUGUUAUGUUUGAGGUCAUGUGCUACAUUUUGAACCCAUUUAAUUUUUUUUCUGGGUCCGCCCCUGACAGAGUAGAGACCCAUCUCUCACAAAAUGCUCUUAAACAAACUUGAAGCAGACAAAUAUGGUACAAUAAAGUCCUAGGGUAAUCAUAGUUCACCUAUAGCUACGGCUUAAAGCAGCUGAAAAUUUAUCACAGGACCAAUAAUAGCUAAGGCUUAAGGGUAUCCUCACAGGACGACGAAACAAGCCUUGAUUUGGGAUGGGCACUUAAACAUAGUCUAAGAAAUCAAUACUAUCCCACUAAUCAACAUCGACACGGAUGAUAAAUUAACAACAAACUAAUCAAAUGUUGGAACUUUGAUUUAGUAGCCGCGAAUCCCAGAAAUGCUGACAUCAGAGAUAUACGAAACAGAACAAGAAGAAACCUGAUUUUAGAGUUGAAGAGAGAGUUGUUUGGUGAGAAAGGUAGUCUUCAGUGUCUUUCUGUUGAGUGAAUGGUUCUCCCAAGUUCCACAACACAGAGUUUGAUCACUCCGCACCCAACCAAAUUUAGGAGAGAUAGAGAGAGAAAGAGGAAUUGGUGGCUAGAGUGAAUUUCAUUAAAAACGCAGCGUUUUAAUAUUACUGGUCUCUCUGGCCUUGACCGAACCGGUUUACAGAAACCUUUCCUAAUUCUUUUGGUUUACUAUUACUUGAGUAAAAUUAAAUCAGACCAAGGUUAGACAUAGCCUCACGAAGAUCACCACUCUGCUUGAGCGAGACGUAACAGGACACACAUGACGCAGAAUUCAAUUUUCGAAGAGCAACACAGGACAGUUUCUUCAAGUUUGGUUCAAAAUGUUACAGUUGAGACUUUCGAUUCGUUAUGCGAUCAAGGAAAUGGCUGAAGAAGCUGUGGAGCAGUGGAGGUUUUGAAUUGCUUGGAGAAGAAGGGUUAUGCUAUGGAUUUGUUUUAGACUUUUAAGGUUAGCAAAAGUAUGCAUUGAACAAGAAGCUUUGGAAUUCGUGAGUGUAUACCAUUGCUCUGGUUUCCCCUUUUUUGAUAUUAGAUCUCGCAAUGUUAUCGUGGAAAUGUAUUCUAUUUGUGGAUCUGUUGAUGAUGCAUUGGGAGUGUUCGACGAAAUGCCUGAGAAGAAAUUUGGAGACUUGGUGUGUUAUGAUGAGGUGUUUUGCUAAAAGCGGAUACAGUGAAGCAGCAAUCGAUUUGUUUAAUCGUUUCAAGCAAGAAGGGAACAAACCAGAUGGAGAUAUAUUCAAAGAAGUCUUUGCUGCGUGUACGUUGACAGGAGAUGUUGACGAAGGAUCAUUGCAAUUUCAAUAUAUGUGCAGAGACUGUAGAAUCGUACCUUCCAUGUAAAAUUAUCAGAGUGUUACCAAGAUGUUGGCUACAUCUGGCUACUUGGAACCGAGUGUUGAUGAGUGGGAACUACUGAUGAAUCUUUCUCUGGUUCAUGGAGAUGUAGAGCUUGGAAGAUAGAUGUUAUGAGUUGAUUGAGAAGUUAGAUGCCACGAGACUGGAUAAGUGGCAACUGCAGGUCUUGUAGCAACCAAAGCAUCAGACUUUAUUAAUGAGGCACAGAGCUGUGACUCUGUAUAUAUUUAGACCGGAAGAUACUUCACAUUCAGAGACGAAGAUCAUUUACGAGACACUAAUGAGUUUGAGGUCACAACUGAAAGAAAUGGGUUAUGUUCCUGACACUAGGUUUUAUUGUAUUUUAAUCCUGGUUAUGGAGAAUAAAGAACGGGCUUAUGGUUACAAAGAGGAAGUCGAGAUUAUUAAAAGGCUUCUUAACUCAAGGCCUCGAUCUUCAAUCAAAGACGGUGUCUGCCAAUGCAACAAUUACUGGUGAGCUAACUAAUCACUUUCCUAUAUUCUGAAAAUCUUUUUUCUAAUAGAAACAAGUUGAGAUAGAGAGUAUCGAAACUUUAUACAGCCAUCUAGUUCUAUAUCAUUUAUAGAACCAAUAAAGUUUUUAGAGAUUUGGUUAAAUGAUCAUCAAGUUACUCGUUUGUGUCCUUGGAUGCCAUCUAAGUCAAUAUCAUGGAAGAGAAAUCGAUGUAAUAAUUCAAGUUUGAUAAACAUUCAUAUAAAUGUGUUUUUGGAUAUAUAAUAGUAAGGUUUCAAACAACUGUAAUGAUAUAACUAUUAAAAUAACUUCACAAACCUUUUUUCUCCAAUUAGGGGCAAGGCAAUGUGCAUAGCUUUUGAUAUUACAAUGACGAGGAAGAGAACUCUAUUGUGGAGUUUAAGAUCAUGGAUUCUGGGUAUAAUGGGUAGAGAUCAGAACCAGAAGCAGAGGAUUUCACUGUUGUUGUCGUUUGAUGAUCGGUCACACCAAACUUGCUCGAGCUACCAUCUGUAUCAAUCUCCUUCAACUUUGAGAUGCUCCAGUUUGGUCCAUAUAAACCAGGUCCUGACAUAACCUGGGGUAUCUCCAUCUCUCCCUCUAGCAUUUGCACAACCUCUGACAUUGUUGGCCUUAAGGAAGGAGAUGAGUUUAUGCAAACUAGAGCAACUUUGAUCAUCCUUGCUGCUUCAUUGUUGUUGAAUUCACCUUUGAGCAUUGCAUCUACGAUUUCCAUUAUGUCCCCUGUCUGUUGCAGCGUCAGCGCCUGAGUUUUGAUGUAAGAAACCAGUUUCAGUAAACUUAUGGAAACAGAUCAUGGAUUGAAUGGGCUCAAGAGAGAAAAAUCUCCACGGUUACCCAAUUGAUAAGCGGGACGUUUCCCUGCUGUUUUGUAUUACUCUUCCCACUAACAAUUUCCAUUGCCACAACCCCGAAGCUGUAAACGUCUGCUUUCUCUGUUAGUUGACCCCAUAAUGCAUAUUCUGGAGCCAUAUAACCACUGCAGCAAUAUUAGAGAAACUAAGAAUGACACGUUUCUGCAGCCAUGAUUGCGGUUUUCGUUAUAUGUUCUAUACUUACAUGGUUCCUGCAAUUUUGGUGCUAAUGUGACUGUGUUCUGCUUCAUGGAGCCUAGCCAAUCCAAAGUCAGAUAUCUUUGCAUUAAGGCCAGCGUCUAGAAGCACAUUCGUUGUUUUUAUGUCACGAUGAACCAUCCUCAUCGCCGAUCCUUCAUGGAGGAAUGCAAGCCCUCUUGCGAUUCCAAGACAGAUUUGUUGUCUUGCUGCCCAUUCCAGUUUUAAGGAACCCUUUUCUGGCAAUGAUAUACACCAAAGAGAUAUUACGUCACGUAAGAUAUAUGUGCACAUGAAUUAGACUUAAAAUGUCUUGAAAAGCUGAGUCACUUUUGUUUACCGAACAGCGGAUGAGCAAGGGAGUUAUUUUUCAUGUAUUCAUACACGAGCAGCAAGUGAUCUUUCUCGACACAGCAACCAUAAAGCUUGACAAGGUUUGGAUGAUUCAACCCUGAGAUCAUGCCUAUCUCAUUGACAAAUUCACGGUUUCCUUGGCAUGACUUGGAAGAAAGCUGCUUGACUGCUAUGAUAGUUCCAUCUGAUAGCUCUCCCUGCAUGAUGUUUCUCAUAUCAGAAACCCAAAACAACACUAUUUCUUUCUCAGGUGUCUAUUUACAUUUUGGCAUCUUACUUUGAAUACAGAUCCGAAACCUCCUUCUCCAAGUUUGUUGGCUUCAUCAAAAUUGUUUGUUGCAGCUUGCAGUUGCCUCCAAGUAAAGCAAAGCGUUUGCAGACCUUGCGCUCUCAGUUCUAUGUGAUCAUCAUGUUCACAAGAGAAAAUCAUUACUAAUGGCUAAAACUAUUGGAUUACCUUCUUGGAAUCCCUUUAUACACUGUGAACUCUGUUACCUCGUUCUAUUAUGUUCUUGUCUCCUCUGCUUCUCUUCCAUGCAUAUAUUCCCAUAGCUGAGAGAACAACUGUUACUGAAGCAAUAGUGACCCCAACAAUUAAGGGAUACUUAGUAUGAUGUUCUGUUUUCUCCGCUGCAGAGGAGACAAUAAAAGUGUUAAUGCUAAUAUACAUGAUAGAUCAUCUAUACUCUAAGCGAGGAAAACAUAUCUUUAACAAAGUAGUUUAUUUUUAUUUAUUUAUUUUUGUCUUUGGACCUCCACAUUGUGGCUCGAGACCUGAAAUUUUGAAAGAUGAAUAUUAGCGUUAGGUGGCACUAGGAACCAGUGUCAAAAAUUUUGGAGCUUCAACGAGUAGAAGAGAAGAGUAAACUUACUGUGACAUAAGGAGAUAGCAGAGAUAAGAGGACCAUAGUUUCCUCUUUGGGGAAUGAGGGUUGUCCCUUUCCCCGCCCAAUACAACCGAAUCUCUAACAUAUGAUUAGUUACAUUCGCGUUGGCUUCUUUCACGACAGGCUUCAGAGUCCCAUUAGCAUCCUCUUUGAUGUUAAAAUCCUUCACGAACAAUUCUCCCUAACCGUCGAAUCAAAUGAACUUCAAUCUUCCAUGCUUGAUUAUCGAAAAUAACUACUAAGUAAACAGUUACACUUUACCUGAACAUAAAUAUCGAAUAUGCGUAUACCGAGACUACUGGAUAGAUCUUUGUUUGAAAACUGAAUCUCCAUAAAAUGGAGUUUCACAUUGUACGCUCCAUUUUUCAAGCAAAAAGCAUAAUACGAUAGAGAAAGAGCAGAUUGACGUGCGGUCUUAUAAAAAAUAGGAGAAUCUCCGGAUAGUGGUAAACUAGGUGAAAUGAUGUAUAUAUCAUUUGGCAAGUAACCAGUGCUACUAACUCCCCAGUUUUCAAAGUGCUGAUUUGUAGCAGCUUUGGUUUCACUAUUAUCAGCUUGAUAAGUGAUUUUACCUAGAGAGGUUGGAAUAUUCUCACUUUCUCCACCACAAUUUAUAUGUAGUGAGCUUUGAUCUAUACAAUCAAUGAACAAAAAAAUUUCGCCAUCAAUCGAAAAACUAAGGAUGCCAAUUUUUAUUAUUAUGAAAAAAGGAGAGAGUAUAAACAUGGUAAGCAGAGCAGACAAAAAUGAUUAUGUUAUCUAAUGCAUCGUUGAGAUCAGUUUAACGGAUCAAUAUGCACUUACAUCUCGUGCACUUUAUUGGACCAGAACAUGGUAGAAGUCCAGUUCUGUAGGAAAAGAAGAUGAGGAGGAAUAAUGAGACAUCUCACUAGGCGAGACAUUUAACUAAUUUCUGUUUCCAGAUUACUAAGUUUAAUACAUUCUUGUUGCAUGAUGAAAUAGAAGAGUGAGUGUGCUUACAAAUUGUUCUUCAAGUAGGAGCUUCGGUAUGUGUUUAUGUUACUGAUUCAACAGAACGUGAGAAUAUAAACUUCAACAAAAGCAGAUUCUAAACUAAUGGGAAGAAUAUGUAAGUAUAUAUCUACCAUGAUUUCAUGUUCAUACCUCUUGUCCUGGCAGCUAGAUGAGUAUGAGAAAUUGUUAUAAGAGAGAUCACUUUGAAGAUUCACCAAAUAUACAAAACCAAGAAGAUGAUUAGCUAACAUGAGUAUAAUUUCUCGAGCCACACAAACGAGUAAGGGCGUGAAACGUACAUAUAAGAUUUACUGUUGAGGAAAACAUCAGAUCCAACGUUUCCGGAAAGCAUGUUGCCAGUCAAAUAGCUAAACAUGUUGAAACAAUGUAUUAAUACUCAAUGGUUAUUAGAAGGUCUUCAACUCCUAGUACUUACGUAUAUUGGGGAGGUUUCUUCAGUGCAGAUUGAACUUCCCCAGUCAACUGGUUAAACGAUAAAUCACUGCAGCAAAACAAAACAAAAAACAUAUUAAAUUGCAUGUUUGUAGCUUUUGUUCUUUUUAAAAUUAGCGUUUCACUAAUUCAGCUAAUGGUAAAGAUAAACAGAUGAUAAGACCAUGGAGGCAUGGAUAUAACAGAGUUUCAAGAAAAAGAACAAGAAAAAUAUGAUAGAGUACUUUCGAACUUACAAAUUCUUUUCACACAUUACAAAUAAAAGAACUUACAGAGUCCUUAGGACUGGCAUGUUCCAGAUGUAAGAAGGGAUUGGACCAGACAAACUCAUAUUUCUCAAAAUCCUGGAACAGGGACAGAGACUUAAGUUCAUCAGUUCUAAUAAAAAUCAAGCAUGAAGACGAGAAGUGCAUGGAUGAUAAAUACAUACAAGAUUUCCAUGGCUUUGCUUGGUAUAAAUGGAAAGGAGUUUAUCUCAGUGGUCAUAUCAAUAAUUCUCCUGCAUAUAAAUACAUGGCUUCAAACAUCAGUCUUGAAUCAAUUUUCCCUCUACUAAUAUACGUUUGAAAGCUAGACAAGUUAAUUACACAUCAGUAAGAUUUUGUAGGCGGAAGAUAUUAGUAGGAAUAGGUCCUUUCAGUCCACUUGCAUGUAAAUAUCUGUUGAUAAUAGCCGAGGCAAAUUAGACGGUGCAAAAACACAAACUAUAAAGAAAAUUACUAUAACCAGUGAAAGAGAAGCUUACAAAAUUCUAAGCCGAGACCAGUUGCCAAUAUACCCUGGAAUGAUGCCAUCAAAGUUAUUGUCACUUACCCUACUACAUAAAUGGAUGAAAAUUAACAACUAGUUUUAGAGGUUUAUAAAACUUAAUCUUCUUGAACUAGUUUAUAGGUUAUCUUAACUAAGCUAGAUAUGAUUAAAGAUGAGCAUUUGCAGUUACAAAGGCAAAAAUAUUUGAUAUACAAUAACUUACAAAUCCUGAAGGUUAACCAGCUUAGCAAGAGUGCUAGGAAGACUUCCUGUAAAUUGAUUGGAAGCAAGAUGCCUGUAAAACCCAAUUUUAGCAAAUAUUACAAGUGUACUCUUUCCAUAAAAGUGAUAAAACCAAAGAUUAUUGUGGUUUUGUAAACUAGUUAAUAUGCGAAGAAUCAUACAGUUUUUCUAGGUUGAUCAAGUUACCAAUCUCAUCAGGAAUUGGACCAGAGAACUGGUUGGCUUCGAGUCCUCUGAAAAUUUCAUCACAUAUACACAUUACUGUAAUGUUGGAUGUAAUUUAUAUAUGCACAUGCCUUCAGGUGAUGAAACAGUUAGAGACGUACAGAAAUGUCAGAUUCUUGAAGUUUUGUAACCCACUUGGUAAAUUCCCAGACAAACGAUUGGCGCAGAGCGAGCUGCAAGAAGAGUUAAAGUUACUUGCAAAUCAUGAAGAUGAAGAAACAACACACAUAUAUAUAGAGAGAGUAGUGAGAGGGAGAGCUAACAUGAAAGUGAGGUGUGGCAUUGAAGCCCACUCCAUUGGGAUAGAGCCAGAGAGGUAGUUUCGGCACAAGUCGCUUCAAAGAAGAGCAAGAAUAGACAUAUACUAUGUAUCAUGACUUCGUAAUAUCUCAAUUAAUUUAGCCGAAAAAAAGAGAAAUACAAAAUUAUUACAAAUCUUUUGUAAAAACGCUAAAAAAUCUCCUUUUAUUUUCAUUUACGCUAAGAAAUCCCUUUUAUUCUCAUUUUUGGUUUACUGUCAUAAUUAUAAAUAAAAAAAAUUGAUGAAAAACUUAUUUAAGGAUAAACAUAACAAAUUGAUGAAUAUUAACAUAACAAAAAGUAUUCUAUUUAAAAGAUAAACAUACUAUAUACUGUAGUACCAUAUAUAACAUAACACAAAACAAAAUUCACAUAUAUAUAUAUAUAUCCAAAUUUGUCACUGCAAACUGAAACCUCAAACUAUUGGUUAUAUACAGUAAAUGAUUCGUGAUAGCUAGAACUCACAUCGAUCGGAGAUAGGGAAGUUUGACCAACUCCGGUGGAAGUUUUCCUGGAAGACUGAGGGUCUUGAGAAUUCUGAUGACCAACCACGAGAAUAUAUGGUUAAUCAUGGAUCGAAAUAUAAAAGAAAAUGAGAAAAUCUAUAGGAGAAGGUAGAAGAGCAACAAGACGAGUACUCACAUGUUCGUAAUAUGGCAUGAGGUGCUAUUGUUGAUGUUACAAUCACAAACAAUGGUAUUCUCACUCCCUAGAAUCGGAGCAACAUCCAUCUUUAGUCCUCCUAAAGCGCAAGGGUCUCCAUAGUGUAGGUUAAGUCUCGUGAUACCUAGUGUGGAAGCUAUCUCUCCAAGCGCUUUUACUGCAUAAUUAAAUUUUGACCAGAAAAGCAAAUUUCUUGAUUACCUUUAUGACUGUGAUUUUAAGAUUUUGUAAGAAAUAGCUAGCUAAUGAAUCUUCUCAUACAUUCAUCUGGAUGAAGAACUGGUGAAAUGGCCGAUGUUCUUAGAGCUGCGAGGAAGGUAGUGAUGAUGGUGAAUAAUAGAAAAAUCGAGAAGAGGAUCGACAUAUCGAUAUAAAUUAUAUACAGUAUUUUCUUGGUUAAUCACAAUAUUAGUGAUGAUUCAAUGCUUAUAUAACAAUAUAGUAUACGCUAAAAGUAAAACUGCUGCAGAUAUUUGAAGAUGCAGUUCCAGAACAGCUUGCUGUGAAGAUCAGGAAGCCGCAUCUGUUCAGACGCCUGAGACCACAUCAGACGCCUGAGAUCACAUCAGACACUUGAAGUUGCUGACAUGGAGUUGUGAGAUGACGUGGCAAAGCUUAAGUGGAUGGAGUGACGUGCUAAGGAAGAUUUCUUGCUUGGCAGCAAAGAUAGAGACGAAUUGCGUGUGAAGAUAUGGUGAAUAUUCUUCACAUCAAAUAAGGAAAGGAUAAGCUUGACAAGCAAGUAUAUUCCGUUUCCGUGAGAUCCUCGAAGAUCCUAGGGUUAGGGUUUCGAGUAGUGAGUAUAAAUAGUCUAGGGUUUGGCCACGAGCCAUUUUGAACACUUUAGACUCUUUGUACGUGAUUAUAUACUUCGAAACUAGCAAAACAAAAAGCUGAGAAGGUGAGUGUUUGUUUUCUCUUGGGACUACACGGGUGUAGGAGAGAUAGGUUUAGUGCUCAGGUUCAAUUCUAUUGGUAGGAAUAGAUUGAGUAAGAGCCGAGACAAAAUUGUAUCCUAGGAAAAGAUAAAUUUUGUUAAUAAAGAUCGAAGGAAAAAGCGUUUGCUUGGCGCGUUCUAAGUUUAACUGUCUGUGCGUUUCUCUAUACAUUUUCAUUUGGUAUCAGAGCGGACGCCUGAUAAAAAAUCUGUUUAUCUUUUCAACAGGUGAGAUCCUGCAACAGAGGGUAUGGAGAAAUCACAGCAAUACGUUGCUAUAACUAAGCCGUUUAAGUUGGAUCCAGAACAUUACGGGUUCUGGAAGGUGCAGCUGAGACAGGAUAUUCAGAGUGCUGAUCUUGAUGCCUGGAUAGCUGUUGAAGAUGGAUGGACAGCCCCUGUGAAAACAAAUGAGGCUGGAGAUGCUGUUUCAAAACCCAAGAAGGAUUGGACUGCAGAGGAGAAACUUGCAGCAAAACACAAUGCAACAGCUCUGUCCUUAAUCUUCAAAUCGUUGCCUGUAAAUCAGUUCACCAGAGUUCAGGGAUGUGAAUCUGCAAAAGAGGCAUGGGAUAUUCUUCAGGUCACCUUUGAAGGAACCAGCAAUGUGAAGAGAACCAGACUUGACAUCUUAGCGUCUGAUUUCGAGAACUUGACUAUGGGAGAUAGUGAGACUAUUGAGGAAUUCAGCAGCAACCUGAGUAAUAUCUCUCAAGAGGCUAUAGUGUUGGGAAAACGCUAUAAAGAUAAGAAGUUGGUUAAAAAAUUUCUCAGAAGUCUGCCGGAGAAGUUUCAGCCACAUAGGUCUACAAUUGAUGUCUCGUUGAAUUCUGAUGAGUUAAAAUUUGAUCAAGUAGUUGGGAUGAUGCAGGCAUAUGAGCUACAAGUUAAGAAAAAGGAGCAGGCAAGUGGAAAAACUUUCGCACUGAAUACUGUUGACACUCAGGAGUCUGCAGAUGAUGAUAAAGUUGGCAUCAUUGAGGAAGGCGAUGAGAGUGUUGGUGUGACAGCUCAAGACGAUGUCAAUCAGGUAGUUGGUGAUGAAUCAGAGGAUGAUGAAGCAAAUCUUCCUACUGAAGAACAAGUUGCUCUCUUGAUCAGGAGUCUGAUGAGCAAGACAAAGGAGAUCUCUGAUCUAACCACCGUAAGAAAUGAACUUCAAUUGAAAUUUUCUGUGAUAUCCAAGGAUCUUGAAGCUGAGAAAGUCAAGUCGCAAGGUCUUGAGAGGCAGUUGGAGGAUCAACUCAGGAACAUCAAGAUGCUGAGCAGAGGGACUAAAGAUCUGGACAAACUCCUAACUGUGGGACGAACGGCUAAUGUCAACUGGGGUCUAGGGUAUCAAGGUGGAAAUUUCAAUGGUACAACUAAGUUUGUUAAGGCAGCUCCACAGUCAUCAGAAGCUACUCAAAGGAAGUCUGUUCCUCAGAAAAAUCAGAGACGUGCUGUGUCCUCAUUUAAUCAGGAACAAUCAGCUCAUGUCCGAAAAUCAAGAAUGGCUUCUCACGAACAGGUUCAGUCAGCGUACGGUUCUGUGUUUCGUCUUCACCGUAGCAGAAGAACAGGUUGUUGGUACUGUGGUAAUCUGAAUCACUACAAGGCACAAUGCUAUGGAUUUUUGAAUCGUGUGUCUGCAAUGAUGCAGCAUCAGUAAUAUCACAGGGAUUCAAAGAAUACGAGCAGAGUCUACAUCAGAAAGGAAGAUCUGUACUGCAAUGUUGCUUACACUGCUGAUGAACAGGAGUCAACUCAGGAGAAGUGGUAUUUUGACAGCGGAUGCUCAAGACACAUGACUGGAGCUCAAGACAAUCUGUCAGAGUUUACACAGGUUUCAGCAGGCAGAGUUACUUUUGGAGAUGGUGCAAAAGGAAAAAUCAAAGGAAAAGGUACCACAGGUGGUGAAUCUCAACCAAGAUUACAUGAUGUGUUUCUGGUUGAUGGACUGAAGGCCAAUCUGAUUAGCAUCAGCCAACUGUGUGAUGAGGGUCUGAAUGUAACUUUUACCAAGGCCAACUGCAAGGCUGUGUAUCGACUAGGACGUGUUCAGCUCGAGGGACAGCGGUCUGGCAACAAUUGUUACAUGUGGAGUUCUGGUAACCCUUGCUUUCAAGCAGCUGUAGAUUUUCAAACUGAGUUGUGGCAUAAGAAAUUAGGACAUCUGAAUGUUCGUACGAUGUUGAGACUUGCACAUCAGGAGGUUGUUCGAGGAAUGCCAAAGCUAAAGGCUGAUCCUUAUUUUGUGUGCGGACCGUGUAACAAGGGCAAACAAGUGAAGGUUGCUCACAAAUCGGUUCCUGAUGUUCGUGCUGUUCAUGCUUUGGAAUUGGUUCACAUGGACCUAAUGGGACCAAUGCGUGUCCAAAGUCUGACAAGUAAGCGUUUUAUUCUUGUUAUGGUUGAUGAUUUUACGCGCUACACAUGGGUCCGUUUUCUACGAGAGAAAUCGGAUACUCUUAACAGUUUCAGAAUUCUUGCUCUGCAACUCAAGAGUGAAAAAUGGGGAAUCAAGACAGUACGAAGUGAUCAUGGUGGUGAAUUCCAGAAUGAGUUGUUUGAUCAGUUCUAUGCUGCUCAAGGGAUAACUCAUCAAUAUUCUGCUCCUCGCACACCUCAGCAGAAUGGAGUUGUUGAGCGGAAGAACAGAACGCUGCAAGAAAUGGCUAGAGCUAUGCUGCAUGGUAAUCAAGUCGCUCAACAUUUCUGGGAUGAAGCAAUCAACACUGCAUGUUACAUCAUCAAUCGGGUCUAUGUGAGGAAAGGAACCAACAAGACCUCUUAUGAGCUGUGGAAAGGAAAAACACCAUCAAUCAACUAUUUCCAUGUGUUCGGAUGUAUGUGCUAUAUCCUUAAUGACAAGGAUCAACUGGGCAAGUUUGAUUCCAGGAGCGACGAAGGCAUGUUUCUGGGGUACUCAGGCAACAGCACAGCCUACCGAGUUUACAACAAACGGUCCAGGAUGGUUCAAGAGACUGUUAACGUGGUGUUUGAUGACGCGUCUUUUCGUGUUUAUGAAGAUGUGUCCUCAGUAACUAAUGCUCCUAAGGAUUUCAAUGAAGGAGUUGUGGGGUAUGAACCAAGUCCAGAGCAGGAAGUUGAUGAUGGCUCCAACGCCGAUGACGACACGGCUGAGCUUCUACCUACUCCUCAGGUGCAUAAGAAUCACACCUCUAAUGAUAUUAUAGGUACGAUUCAGGGGGGCAGAGUUACUAGAGGAAAGAAGAUUGACUUCAAGCAACUCGCUGGUCAGAAGCAGAAGAAUGUUGCUGCUGAAGUUCCACAGAUGGCUGCGGUUGUGCAGUUUGCUUGCUUCGUGUCAACCCUGGAGCCCAAGAAUCACAGAGAUGCUCUUGUUGACGAAUUUUGGAUUGCUGCUAUGCAAGAUGAACUAGAGCAGUUUGAACGGAGUGAUGUCUGGGAACUCAAACAACGACCAGCUGAUGUCAAUGUUGUGGGAACUAAGUGGAUCUUCAAAAACAAGAGUGAUGCACAUGGAUGUAUUGUUCGCAAUAAGGUGCGGUUGGUUGCUCAAGGAUACUCUCAGAUAGAAGGCAUUGAUUUUGACGAGACUUUUGCUCCUGUAGCAAGACUGGAAUCCAUCAGGUUUCUGUUUGGCAUGGCAUGUGCUCUAAAUUUCACAUUGCAUCAGAUGGAUGUUAAGAGUGCCUUUCUAAAUGGAAUUCUCCAAGAAGAAGUGUAUGUGGAGCAACUUAAAGGAUUUGAGAAUCCUCAGCGUCCUGAUCAUGUGUACAAGCUAAAGAAGGCUCUCUACGGACUGAAACAGGCUCCAAGAGCUUGGUACGAGCGUCUGACAACAUUUCUGAUCAAACAAGGAUAUGUGCGUGGGAAUGUAGACAAAACAUUGUUUGUGUUUCAAGAUAACAAUGGUGUGAUGUUUGUUCAGAUAUAUGUUGAUGAUAUUGUCUUUGGAUCCACAUGUCAGCCGCUAGUUGAUCAGUUUGUGAAGAACAUGACUCAAGAAUUUGAAAUGAGCAUGUGUGGGGAGUUAAACUAUUUCUUGGGACUGCAAGUGAAACAAUCAGCUGAUGGAAUAUUUGUUUCACAAAGCACUUAUGCCAAGAAUUUAGUUGAACGUUUUGGUCUCGCCAAGAGUAAAGAGGCGAAGGUCCCAAUGAGUGUGACUGACAAGCUCUCAAAGGAUGAAGCAGGAGAGGAUGUUGAUGAACGAGUUUACAGAGGAAUGAUCGGGAGUCUGUUGUACUUAACUGCCAGCAGACCAGACAUCUGUUUAUCUGUUGGAAUCUGUGCUCUGUAUCAAGCCAAACCAAAGAAGUCUCAUUUGUUGGCUGUUAAGAAGAUCAUCAAGUACAUCAAGGGGACUGUAAAUCUUGGAAUAUACUACACCAAGGAUACAACCAGGAGCUUGACAGGCUACUGUGAUGCUGAUUGGGCUGGUUCAUUGGAUGAUCGUAGAAGCACAAGUGGUGGAUGUUUCUUCAUGGGCAACAACCUGAUUUCAUGGCACAGCAAGAAACAGAACAGUGUUUCUCUGUCAACAGCAGAAGCCGAGUACAUUGCACUGGGAAGCUGCUGCACUCAACUCAUGUGGAUGAAACAAAUGGUUGCUGACUAUGGUAUGGAUUCUGAAACUCUUUUAAUUCAUUGUGAUAACCAAAGUGCAAUCAACAUAGCUAAGAAUCCUGUUCAACAUUCACGUACUAAGCAUAUUGAUAUUAGACAUCAUUUUAUUCGUGAACUUGUUGAGGCGAAACUGAUUGUGGUUGAUCAUGUGAGUACAGAAUUUCAACUGGCUGAUUUGUUUACUAAACCAUUGGAUUUUAACAGAUUCGUGAAUCUGAGAAAAUCCAUUGGGAUUUGUGAGAUCUAACUUUCUCUGUGAGUUGUGCUGAUCUAAGACAGGGACUGGAGCAAGAACAGACCAUGGAAAUCCUAAGAAUGAAUAGAAGAUCAGCACCCUGUACUUCGGUUUAAAAAGAGUGGAAAAUAGCUACCUGUCAUGCCAACUCUUGUGGACAUUCCUGUAAAAUGUUGUCGUGAUAACGGAGGUCAAAGAGCUGAGGAGAGGUGGAAGUGUGCAUGUCACGAGAUGUACUUGGAAUUGUGAUACAUCACUAAGUCAAUUCCAGUACUCUAUUAAUGGAGCUCUGAAUAUGCUAUUGAAGACAUGCACAAGGAUCAGUGGUUGAGAAGUCAAGUGAUAUCAUUGAUCCACAAAUCAGAAGGUUUAACAGAGGCUUGGUCAAAAAUCAACGAUCUGAGAGAAGGCUCUGCCUGACUGUUAAAUCAUAGCUCCACAGGUAGUGUGUUAAACAAAAAAAAAAGAAAAAAAAAAAAAAAAAAAAAAAAAAAAAGGGUUUAACACACUCCUGGUCCUGCACUCUCCAAAGGUUAUUCCAGCUGCCUGUUCAUGUUGGGUUUGGAAGCUUGAGUUAAAGGUAUGCCAGAGUGAAAGACUAGCCACUGAACUCAGAGCUGAUCUGUCAAAGAUUCAGAAGGUUGUGGU
rnacentral:lncRNA from 1 species